rnacentral:rRNA from 1 species
UACCAGCACCCCGAGUGGUCGGGACGUUUAUUGGGCGUAAAGAGCGUGUAGGCGGCUAUUUAAGUCCUGCGUGAAAUCCUGCGGCUCAACCGCAGACGGUCGUGGGAAACUGGAUGGCUAGAGUGCGGGAGAGGAGAGUGGAAUUCCCGGUGUAGCGGUGAAAUGCGCAGAUAUCGGGAAGAACACCCGUGGCGAAGGCGGCUCUCUGGACCGAUACUGACGCUGAGGCGCGAAAGCGUGGGGAGCAAACAGG